AGAGUUUGAUCAUGGCUCAGAACGUACGCUGGCGGCACGCCUAAUACAUGCAAGUCGAACGAAGUAGCAAUACUUAGUGGCAGACGGGUGAGUAACAUGUGGGUAUCUUCCCUUUGGUGAGGAAUAACACGAGGAAACUUGUGCUAAUACCUCAUAAGUCUUUACGGAGAAAGCUUUAUGCGCCAAUGGAUGAGCCCGCACUUGAUUAGUUUGUUGGUGAGGUAAUGGCUCACCAAGACUUUGAUCAAUAGCUGAUUUGAGAGGAUGAUCAGCCACAUUGGGACUGAGACACGGCCCAAACUCCUACGGGAGGCAGCAGUAGGGAAUCUUGCACAAUGGGGGAAACCCUGAUGCAGCGAUGCCGCGUGAGUGAAGAAGGCCUUUGGGUUGUAAAGCUCUUUCGUCGGGGAAGAAAAUGACUGUACCCGAAUAAGAAGGUCCGGCUAACUUCGUGCCAGCAGCCGCGGUAAUACGAAGGGACCUAGCGUAGUUCGGAAUUACUGGGCUUAAAGAGUUCGUAGGUUGUUAAAAAAGUUGGUGGUGAAAUCCCAGAGCUUAACUCUGGAACUGCCAUCAAAACUUUUUAGCUAGAGUUUGAUAGAGGAAAGCAGAAUUUCUAGUGUAGAGGUGAAAUUCGUAGAUAUUAGAAAGAAUACCAAUUGCGAAGGCAGCUUUCUGGAUCAUUACUGACACUGAGGAACGAAAGCAUGGGUAGCGAAGAGGAUUAGAUACCCUCGUAGUCCAUGCCGUAAACGAUGUGUGUUAGACGUUGGAAAUUUAUUUUCAGUGUCGCAGCGAAAGCAAUAAACACACCGCCUGGGGAGUACGACCGCAAGGUUAAAACUCAAAUGAAUUGACGGGGACCCGCACAAGUAGUGGAGCAUGUGGUUUAAUUCGAAGAUACGCGCAGAACCUUACCAACACUUGACAUGUUCGUCGCGACUUUAAGAGAUUAAAGUUUUCGGUUCGGCCGGACGAAACACAGGUGCUGCAUGGCUGUCGUCAGCUCGUGUCGUGAGAUGUUGGGUUAAGUCCCGCAACGAGCGCAACCCUCACUUUUAGUUGCCAUCAUUUAGUUGGGCACUCUGAAAGAACUGCCAGUGAUAAGCUGGAGGAAGGUGGGGAUGACGUCAAGUCCUCAUGGCCCUUACGUGUUGGGCUACACACGUGCUACAAUGGCAUUUACAACAGGAAGCAAAACGGCGACGUUAAGCAAAUCCUAAAAAAAUGCCUCAGUUCGGAUUGUACUCUGCAACUCGAGUACAUGAAGCUGGAAUUACUAGUAAUCGCGGAUCAGCGCGCCGCGGUGAAUACGUUCCCGGGUCUUGUACACACCGCCCGUCACACCAUGGGAGUUGGUUCUACCUUAAGGCAAAGGUUAAAAACUUUGACCACGGUAUAGUCAGCGACUGGGGUGAAGUCGUAACAAGGUAACCGUA
rnacentral:rRNA from 1 species